UCAGUGCUCUGGUCUAGUUGACAAGGUAGUGAUUGGUCAAAGGUUGGACUCCGUGAUAUUGGAGGCCUUUUCCAACCUUAAUGAUUCUGUGAUUCCGUGAAAGGUGUCUGGUAAUGAGUGCACAGCUUCUCUGUGCCUGGGCAGGUGGGAAUCCAGCUCUCUGCUGCCUGGGCAGGUGGGAAUCCUAAUAGCAAGGCCCACAGGGUGUUCUUGCUUCCUGACAGCAGCCCAGGGUUUUACAGAAACAAGGGCAGACCACUUUCUGCAUAAGUUAAUGGACAGAGAAUUGAUGAACGAUGUCCCAGAGAUGUUUUGGGUAUUGAAGGAAACGUUUCCCCCAGACCUAGCCUUUUGCAAGCCAAACUGAAAAGAACACUGUACGUGUCAGCUCCUCAGCUUGGCCCAAAGUACUGCAGAGAGAUAACCUGCAGUUCCCUUUCAUUUCUCUUCCAACAACCUAUGGAAAUGGAUUGCCUGCUUUGCAUUGAGUAACUGUAUUGUCUGCAGUCAGCUUUACCUGUCUAGGGUUAAAGAAGCAACUGGUGAAACACCAGGGCAUUCCCUAAAGAGGGUAAUAGUAAACCCAGGUAUGGGAAAAUGCCCAAAGAGAUCAGCUCUGCAGCAAUCCUCCCAGUAGGGACAGCAGAGUGAGCCCUGAGUGGGCUGUAAAACCAGUAUCAGAGCUGGUUAAACUGGUCUGAGGGAAAAAAAAGGUGGCUUCAGGUAGGCAGUGUUGGUCAGGAGACCUCCCAGGCAUGCAGCAGGGUGGCAGGGAUGCUGGGUGGCAAAUAUCCCAAAGGAAGCACAGCCAAAACCAGCUCUGGGUUUACUCUGGAGGUGCUGCCGAAGGGGGUGUGAGCUGUGGAGUGCUCCUCCUGACCUGCCCUCUCAAGGGUGCUCAAGUACCGCUGGGUAUUUGCCUCUGUAUUUUUGUCCCCCAUGUUGGGAAAAAAAAACAAGACAGUCAGCAAAACUCAAAGUGUCUCUCUGAGGAAUUUGAUUCAAGCCAGGAAAUUCAGAGGCAGCUUCCCUGUGAGAUCCAGGUCAGCAGUCUUAGCUUUACAAGCUGACAUCUGCCAUUAGAGCCGCUCCCAUGAUUUAACUCUUUGUUGCUGUUAUUAACAGGCUUUUUUUGAAUAUAGUUUUUACAGUUCCUUUUUGGUGUUUUGGUCUGGGUUUAAUUUUUAUUUUAUCCCCUGCUUUCUGUAAAUAGCUUUCUGACUGGCAGGUCUCAAGGACUAACCCUAUAAAGCCAUUGAAAUGUAGCGAUUCCCCCUGUUUUCAGUGGGAGCAAAAGGGAAUUACUGUUAUUUAGACCUUUCUUUGAGCCUGACUGUCGGUGUCUUUGUGCAUCAUGUUUCCUAUUGCUAAGAGAAAGGAAAGCCUCAGUUCCUUGUCUUCCAGAAGGAUCAAAAGCCUUGUGGAUGAGUGUCUGCAAUGGACUUUCGGGCUUCCAAGGGAAGAACAAAGUAUUAAUAAGCAGUAGUAUUGGCAAUAGCACAACCACAUUCUUCACACGAACUGAAAUACUGGCUGAUCCUUCAAAAGUCUUGCUGAUGCCCUUACUGACUGUGCUCCAGGGAGGAAAAAUAACACAGCCUCCAAAGCCGGUCACUGACCAUGUCCCAGGCAGCAAAGUACCAGUUCUGAUCCUCUGCAAGGAGGGAGGACACACUACUCGUAGCAUUAAAGGACGGAGCAGAUAAGUACUGUCUAUAGAUAAAUGAACCUUAAUAUCAAUAUAAGAUUCUGCUCUUAUGGGUACAUAAAUCCUACUUAAUAUAAGCCCCGAGUCUGUGACAUUUUGGUUGCAGCUCCAUUUACCUACAGCAGCUGUAGCCAGGAUGCCCAGUGGCAGCACAGACCUGGAAAUCAUUUAGGAUGCUCUGCAUUGGUCACCAUGCAGGGAGACUGAGACUUCUCCUGCACAGAGCAGCUCAAGGGCCAUGUGUUUGGGGGAAGUGACAGUCACCUCCCAGGCCCCGGGCUCCAUUCCUGACUGCUGAUGACUCAUUAGGAAAAUUAUUUCUGCUUCCAUUUCUGAGCUACCACCACCACCUAAUUUCCACUGGGUCUGUCAGUCCAUUCAGGAGCACAGCAACCCCUGCAAGGAAUUGCCACCCUGGCUUGGGAACUGCUGUUCCAGAGGUCACUAGAGAACUUUAUUAAUACUCAUUGCAUUAACCUCCCAGCUAGCCAGUGACAGAAAUGCCAUUUCUCCCAUUUUAUAGCUGAGAAAAAUGAAGCGUAGACAGAUCCAUCACCUGGUUACAGAGUCAAUGGGAAUUCUUAAUGCUCCAUAAAUCUGAAAAUUAGGCUGUCAGCAACUUCUCCUGAAGCGAACCUGCAGCAAAGCUGUCCAGGAGCCCAGUUCCUACCCAUCAGAAAAAAAAAAAACAAAACAAAACAACCAAAAGGAAAAGGUAUCUGGGAGAAGAGUCAUCUUUACACUGCAAGCAGCUACAUCAUUCAGGUCUUCUGAAGAGGAAUUUGACUUGAUUAAGCUAAAAUAAGGUUAGAAUAGUUUGGUGAUUCUUCUGUAAUACUGAAAUACUGUCUCCAAAGUUUCCAGGCCCUACAGAGACCUGAAGAGAAAUGUCCUGCAACUGCUGUUUCAAUAUGUGUGUCCUGAGGCAAAGCUAUGGAGGAGCAUGACUUAAUUUCUGACCUACAGCAGUGUAAAUACCUGAUUCACUGCUCAGAACUAUGAAAUUCCAUUUACAGGGGGAAAAAAAAAGAUACUGUCUCAUUAUUAAACACCACACUAAAUGCACGUGCCCAGGGAUAGAGUGAAGGUUCCCCUGUGGCUCGUCCUUUUCCUCUGAGAGCCUUUGACCUUGUAUUAAAGAUGGGCUUUGAUGCCUGAAAUGGAAGAAAAAAAUUCUCCAAGCAAUAUUAGUAUAGAUAAGAUAGAGAGCAGCUCUUUUAAUGAAGGCCUCCAAGGUUGCUUUGCCUAUAAUGAUAUCUUGCUGUCCCGGUCCAGGUGCAUAUGUCCUAAAUAAGAUGUGUUUGCUGGAGUCUUUUCCUUGAGAAGACCACUAAACAAGUCUAAAGAAUUUAGAAAAUUCAAUAUGAAGCGUGAGAACAGGUUUGGUGACUGUCAACUGCUAUUCUGAAGUGUGAGAAACUUUACAGCCGUAUUAAAAAUCCAUAUUUGCUAAAAAUCUUAAAAAUCCUAAGGCAUCAGCUUUCUGGGCAAAUGUUAACUAAACCCUCUGCUUGGUGUACACAGGGCCAGAGGUGGUUUCUCUCACACACAAGCUUGGUUUGUGCAAGCCCAGGUCUAUCCUGGGACAGUGAAGCUCUGCUGAGCUCUCUGUUUCUCACACAGUGCAGGGUGAGGCUUAGCUGAUCCUUACCUGCUCCCAUGGACACCCCCAAAUCUGGCCAAACCCAGCCCCUGCUGUCCCUCCCACCCUCAGCUAAUACACAUGUCUAAAUACAACCGUGAUCAAAUU